rnacentral:tRNA from 1 species
GCCCGGGUGGUGGAAUUGGUAGACACGCAUGAUUCAGGUUCAUGUGGCUGCAAGGCUGUGCAGGUUCAAGUCCUGUUCCGGGCA